rnacentral:rRNA from 1 species
GACAGAGGGUGCAAACGUUGUUCGGAAUUACUGGGCGUAAAGCGCGUGUAGGCGGUCUCGUAAGUCGGGUGUGAAAGCCCUGGGCUCAACCUGGGAAUGGCAGUGGAUACUGGAAGGCUGGAGUACGGUAGAGGAGGGUGGAAUUCCCGGUGUAGCGGUGAAAUGCGUAGAGAUCGGGAGGAACAUCAGUGGCGAAGGCGGCCCUCUGGACCAGUACUGACGCUGAGGCACGAAAGCGUGGGGAGCAAACAGG